rnacentral:rRNA from 1 species
GACGAACGCUGGCGGCGUGCUUAACACAUGCAAGUCGAACGAUGAAGUUCCUUCGGGAAUGGAUUAGUGGCGAACGGGUGAGAAACACGUGAGAAACCUGCCUUUCAUUUUGGGAUAACUCCGGGAAACCGGAGCUAACACCGAAUACUCCGUCUCGGCGGCAUCGCUGAGCCGGGAAAAAAUUUUGAUGAAAGAUGGUCUCGCGGCCUAUCAGCUAGUUGGUGAGGUAAUGGCUCACCAAGGCGACGACGGGUAGCCGGCCUGAGAGGGCGACCGGCCACACUGGGACGGAGACACGGCCCAGACUCCUACGGGAGGCAGCAGUGGGGAAUAUUGGGCAAUGGGCGCAAGCCUGACCCAGCGACGCCGCGUGAGGGAUGAAGGCCUUCGGGUUGUAAACCUCUUUCAGUAGGGAAGAAGCGAAAGGGACGGUACCUAAAGAAGAAGCACCGGCUAACUAUGUGCCAGCCGCCGCCGUAA